GACGAACGCUGGCGGCGUGCUUAACACAUGCAAGUCGAGCGAGGCCCACCUUUCGGGGUAGUGUCCUAGCGGCGAACGGGUGAGUAACACGUGGGCAACCUGCCCCCGGCUCGGGGAUAACCCCAAGAAAUUGGGGCUAAUACCGGAUACGACCGCUGACCGCAUGGUCUGGUGGUGGAAAGAUUUACCGGCUGGGGAUGGGCCCGCGGCCUAUCAGCUUGUUGGUGGGGUAGUGGCCUACCAAGGCGACGACGGGUAGCCGGCCUGAGAGGGUGACCGGCCACACUGGGACUGAGACACGGCCCAGACUCCUACGGGAGGCAGCAGUGGGGAAUAUUGCGCAAUGGGCGGAAGCCUGACGCAGCGACGCCGCGUGGGGGAUGACGGCCUUCGGGUUGUAAACCUCUUUCAGCAGGGACGAAGCCGUGAGGUGACGGUACCUGCAGAAGAAGCACCGGCCAACUACGUGCCAGCAGCCGCCGUAAAAC
rnacentral:rRNA from 1 species